rnacentral:ncRNA from 1 species
CUAUUACCCUUAGCGCCAUAUAGUAGAAAUACUAUAUGCAAACCAUGUGAAUUCAGGGGAAGUCUUAGCAAGUAAUGUUGAAGAUAAUCCUGAGCCAAGCCUAAUACUAGGAAGGUGCAGAGACUAUUCCGAGAGGAAGUACACUCAAGUGAGUGGAAGCGCAUGGCAUCCGUAAGGAUGGUGAUAUAGUCCCAUCUUACUGGAAACAGUAAG